GACUGAGGUAAAGUUGGGAGCGCAGCGGCGUUGGCGGCGGCGGCGGCGGCAGCGGCAGCGCGGCGGGGCCGGAUUCUACCUUGUAAAUACUGUUAUUUGUAUAUACUGUAAAUGAUGACAUCGGUGGGCACUAACCGAGCCCGGGGAAACUGGGAACAACCUCAAAACCAAAACCAGACACAGCACAAGCAGCGGCCACAGCCACUGCAGAACAAAUUAGACUUGCACAGAUGAUUUCGGACCAUAAUGAUGCUGACUUUGAGGAGAAGGUGAAACAAUGAUUGAUAUUACAGGCAAGAACCAGGAUGAAUGUGUGAUUGCUUUGCAUGACUGCAAUGGAGAUGUCAACAGAGCUAUCAAUGUUCUUCUGGAAGGAAACCCAGACACGAUUCCUGGGAGAUGGUCGGGAAGAAGAAGGGAGUCUCAGGCCAGAAGGAUGGUGGCCAGACGGAAUCCAAUGAGGAAGGCAAAGAAAAUCGAGACCGGGACAGAGACUAUAGUCGGCGACGUGGUGGGCCAC
rnacentral:lncRNA from 1 species